rnacentral:lncRNA from 1 species
GGCGGUUUGAGCUGUCGAGCGGUGGUUUUGCUCUGUCUUUCGGCGCUGCAGCCUCGCUAAGACUCGUUCCUCUCUGCACAGCGUGUGCUCCGCGCUGCCCGAGCUCCUCGCCCAGGCGCUGCGGGAAGCGGAGAGGCUGGUCCCGGCUGCCGGGGCCUGCGUUUCCCAUCACCCCCGGGGGAGGGCGGCGGAGGGGAGGGAAGGGAGGGGAAGGGAGGGGGGAAGCCGGGGCGUGGGGCGGGCCCGGGGCGGGGAGGGGUGGGACACACACAGCUUGAAUUUGUGUCAUUUCAGGCUCCGUCGGUUCCAAAAUGCCUCUUGAACUUGCUGGAGAUGCCCAGCGGGGCCGAGGCAAGAGAAGGAGAGUCCUGGGCACCAGCUCGCAGGGCAGUGAGAAGUCCUUUCUCAAGGAUGAUUUCUUCAGCAGGCGCUGUGUGCAGAAGACGGGAGCUGCAGAGGGAUCCAGACCUCCCGACACAGACCUGCUGCAGACCGAGAAGACUAUGGAAGACACAGAAGCUGAGUUGCCGGGAAGGCCAAGAAUGAAUUGUAGGCCACGGAAGACACCUGUGAAAGGUGCUGGAAAAUGAGACUCCUUGGGAGGAGAAGUAAAAAUCACAGGGAGGCACCAAGCUCCUGAGAAAGUUAAAAAGGAGAUUCCACUUUGCUUUUCACAGCCUGAUUGCAAACAAGCAGGGGAUGUUUUCAUGUAGGAUAGGGAACAAGAAAUGGUUUUGUUCCUGAAAAUCCUUUUCCUGGCCCCUUUUUGGAGGAGUGUUGUUCUGGCCACGUGUUGUCCCCUGGGAGAUCCCUGCCUUCCUACCAGGCUGUGAUUACAACACUAGCAUCAGCAGCAAGAGCAGCCACGCUGCUGCCUCCCACCAAGCACCGUUUGGCUGUUCCCUGGUACAAAGUGUUCCUGGUGGGAUAUUCUUGAUUGCUGUGGAAAGAGAGCCAGAAGGGUUGCAUUUAAGAUAUGCCGGUCCCCAAAGUGUCCUGGUCUUCCCCAGGCCCUUUUCUGGGAGAUGAUUCCUGGGGGCAUUUGCAUUUUCAUCUGUGCUUCGGUUUUUAAUGACUGUCUGCAACACUUGGGAGCCCUUGUGUCAGGGGGAUUCUGUCCAACUUCCAAACUGGGGCGACCGUUUCCUCGCACAGCUGAGAUCUGGUUGUGAAAGCUUGUGCUUUAACCAAGAUUAGCAUCUCUUAAAACUCUAAUGUGCUUUAGGUGAUUUAGGUGGCCUUUUUUCUCCCCUUUUUCUUUGCCUAAAUAUGUUCAAGCAUUAAAGAACCCAAA